UAAGGAAUAUUGGUCAAUGGACGCAAGUCUGAACCAGCCAUGCCGCGUGAAGGAUGAAGGUCCUCUGGAUUGUAAACUUCUUUUAUCUGGGACGAAAACGGGAUUUUUAUCUCAAUUGACGGUACCAGAGGAAUAAGCACCGGCUAACUCCGUGCCAGCAGCCGCGGUAAUACGGAGGGUGCGAGCGUUAUCCGGAUUUACUGGGUUUAAAGGGUGCGUAGGUGGGCUUAUAAGUCAGUGGUGAAAUCUCCGAGCUUAACUUGGAAACUGCCGUUGAUACUAUAGGUCUUGAAUUAUCUGGAGGUAAGCGGAAUAUGUCAUGUAGCGGUGAAAUGCUUAGAUAUGACAUAGAACACCAAUUGCGAAGGCAGCUUACUACAUAUAAAUUGACGCUGAGGCACGAAAGCGUGGGG
rnacentral:rRNA from 1 species